UAUCAUUUUUCUCUUCUCCACCGAAAAUGGCAGAAAAGAGAGGAGUUUUGAAGCUCUGAAAUAUCAGCUACUUACAUCCCUUGCUAAUGAUGAAAAUUGAGAUUUGGACCUAGAACGGAAAGAAAUCGAUUAAGGGAUAAUUAUGUCUUUUUUUUUCACCUUUGCGGUAUCAAGGGUUGCCAGGUUAGCUCGGGUUGGAGUUCGUCGGAGAUAUUAUCACACUGUCAAGCUAACGUUAUUGGUGUAGUGAUUUCAAGUACUUUGAGCCUAUGACAUGUAUAAGAGUUUAAAUAUUAGAGUUUGGGCAAAGUUCAAUUGUUGAAUUAGCUUGCAAAGUCGAUCCCAAACUCAAAUCACGUGGUGAAGUAUUUUUUUUUUUUUUUUGAAAAUGGCAUGUACCUAGGUUGUCUUUUAAUGCCAUUUAGAUAUGUGAAUAUUAAUGAUGUAUAAGAUGAUAUUGGUUGAUCUAUAUAUAUAAACAUAUGUCUUAUAAUAUAA